rnacentral:tRNA from 1 species
GCCGGCGUGGAGAAACGGUAGACUCGGGGGUCUCAAAAGCCCCUUCCCGCGAGGGAGUGUCGGUUCGAGUCCGACCGCCGGCA